GCCCGGAUGAACCUCGGUGGUUCGGGGUGCAGGCUUCAAACCUGUUGCUGCUUAGCGGCAGAGUGGUCAAUUCCACCUUUGUGGGGCA